rnacentral:ncRNA from 1 species
CUCUGUUCUAGCAAAUAGAUCAGGGCAAAGGAG